GGCUUCCCCCUCCUGGCCCCCGCUGAGCCUGCCGCGGGACGUGCCGGUGGCCGACCUCUAUGAAGAACCCUUCCUGUGGGCGACUCCCGGACUCUCGGUGCCCCCAGGGGAGAAUGUCACCUUCCACUGUAACUCCAGCAAGUUCGUCCUGUACUACAGCACAGCGGAGCGCAGGUUCCAGACCCUCGAGCCCCAGAGCGCUAACGGGAACGAGGUCCCUCUCCACAACAAAACAGAGGAGAUAAAUGGGAAUUACACAUGCAAGGGCUACGUGAGCAGGGAGCCCCAUCGCUGGUCGGCUGCCAGUGACAACCUGGUGCUGAGUGACAGGGGCCUCCCUCCCGGGUGCCGUAAGGCCGUUCUUCUCCAUGUGCUCCUGGCCCUGGUCAUGCUGGGGGCUUAGACCCGGCCCAGCCAGACUGGCAGUGCUGAAGUCUGGGGGACCCAGAGCUGUUUCCCUGGAGACAGACAGACGGAGUUCCCCACCCCCUGAUUCCCAAGCCCAGCCCCAUGAGGAACCCACAAUAAAUCGCUU